CUGCCCCGGUGGCCGAAUGGGUAAUGCGGCCACCUGGUAGCGCCUUGGCGUGGGGACCCAAGGCGCGUGGGUUCGAAACCCGCAGGGGACAACAUUACAUCCGGAGCCAACUUCUCAGCUCCUAAAAUAAUGGGAUGUGAACCUGCCAAGUAGGUACCUUCGGGCGGACCUACUACUUGAUUUAGCUGAUUUUUCCUGGGCUGGGAACCUGUAUUGCAUGUACCAAAUCCUGUCUUUCAUUAAUUUUCCUAUGUUCCUGUUAUAUUCUUGGCGUUGUUCAACACUAAGCAUUCCUCCUGUAUAACCAACUCUUGCCUGUAUUUAACAUCACACAAGGACUCGUCAUAAGCACUGCUUGCAUACGAGUAUAACGGAAGAAUAAUAAUAAUAAUAAU
rnacentral:sRNA from 1 species